rnacentral:sRNA from 1 species
UUUCAUGAUCAAGGCUUCACGUUUGCGGAA